UACGUAGGGACCAAGCGUUGUUCGGAUUUACUGGGCGUAAAGGGCGCGUAGGCGGCAUGACAAGUCACUUGUGAAAUCUCCGGGCUUAACUCGGAACGGUCAAGUGAUACUGUCGCGCUAGAGUGCGGAAGGGGCAAUCAGAAUUCUUGGUGUAGCGGUGAAAUGCGUAGAUAUCAAGAGGAAUACCUGAGGUGAAGACGGGUUGCUAGGCCGACACUGACGCUGAAGCGACGAAAGCCAGGGGAGCAAACGGG
rnacentral:rRNA from 1 species